rnacentral:misc_RNA from 1 species
AAAAAAAAAAAAGCCCUUAGAAGCAACCUUGCCUUACAAAGGUGAAUGGUCAGAGAGAAUCAGUUACAAAUAGGACAUUGAACAACAAAGGCUAAGUAGAACUUGCAUAAAGAGGUCCGACGACCAUCCAAAAGUUCUUUACUUGAGAGACAAAUUUCCAAGGGCUCACUCAGUAGGCAUUAACUACAUCCUUUGCAAGCUCAAUCAGUCAAUCUGUUGAAUGCCAUGCUUGCUCAUAAUCACUUUACGACGAAGAGUUUCUAGUUCUGAGGAAAAUUGCCACAACCCUUUCCUCAGUAGAAUGCCAUACUUUGCAUGCUCAUUUCUUGGAUGCCAAAUUAGCAAGGUUUAAAGACAACUUUAAACUUUGGCUUAUAACAGAUAUCCCAACUCAUUAAAUGGUCUCUUUACCCUCCUUGGUCUUGAAUCAAAGAAAUCGUUCACGGUCUUCUCAAGUCCCCUUAAUACCGCAACAUAAAUCCUCCAUAUAAACUCAUAUAGUACUUCAGUUUAUGAUAUACCAAGUUAAUUACAAUACUGAAAAGAAAAAUGGGAAUAAUGAUCCCUAGGAAUACUAAGUCUAGGAGCAGUAAAGGGAUAAUUCAUGGCAUACAACUAAAACAGAAAGGAAAGGGACUGACCAUUUGAGCUUUGGAUCAGUAA